AGCUCCAAUAGCGUAUAUUAAAGUUGCUGCGUUUAAAAAGCUCGUAGUUGGAUCUCAGUCUCGAUCGAGCGGUCCGUCUUCCGGCGGUACUGCGCGAAUCGGACAUUCCGCCGCGUUUCUUCUCAUGCUCUUGACUGAGUGUGGGGGGAGAGUGGUACGUUUACUUUGAAAAAAUUAGAGUGCUCAAAGCAGGCUUAGGCCGUUGGAUACAUUAGCAUGGAAUAAUGAGAUAGGGCCACCGCGGUCUAUUUUGUUGGUUUGCACGUUGUGGUAAUGAUUAACAGGAACGGUUGGGGGUAUUCGUAUUCAAUUGUCAGAGGUGAAAUUCUUGGAUUUGUGGAAGACGAACUACUGCGAAAGCAUUUACCAAGGAUGUUUUCAUUAAUCAAGAACGAAAGUA
rnacentral:rRNA from 1 species